AUUGAACGCUGGCGGAAUGCUUUACACAUGCAAGUCGAGCGGCAGCACGGGAGCUUGCUCCUGGUGGCGAGUGGCGGAACGGGUGAGUAAUAUAUCGGAACGUAUCCAAUAAUGGGGGAUAACUAAGCGAAAGCUUGGCUAAUACCGCAUACGCCCUGGAGGGGGAAAGCUAGGGAUCUUCGGACCUGGCGUUGAUGGAG
rnacentral:rRNA from 1 species